GUGAAUCAUCAAAUUUUUGAACGCAAAUUGCGCUUCCUGGCAUCCCGGAAAUAAGGCUUUUUUGGGGGUCGUUAUUAUUAAAAAUCGGUUUUGUUACAAAUUGUGACGUUUCCGGGGUUUGGGCUAUCUUUACAUUUUUGGUUAAGAGGCUUAAAAUUGACCUUUUUUGCGCAUUUUUAAACGUUAAUAAAUUUUUUUUAUUCCUCUAUUCUUAAUUCCAAAAUCUUAUUAGAUUCGAUUACAU
rnacentral:misc_RNA from 1 species